GUAGGGAAUAUUGGGCAAUGGAGGCAACUCUGACCCAGCCAUGCCGCGUGAAGGAAGACGGUCCUAUGGAUUGUAAACUUCUUUUAUCAUAGAGUAACCGCAGGGACGUGUCCCUGCCUGCAAGUAUAUGAUGAAUAAGCAUCGGCUAACUCCGUGCCAGCAGCCGCGGUAAUACGGAGGAUGCAAGCGUUAUCCGGAUUUAUUGGGUUUAAAGGGUGCGCAGGCUGACCGGUAAGUCAGGGGUGAAACUUUACAGCUUAACUGUAAACGUGCCUUUGAUACUGACGGACUAGAGUUUAAGAGACGUAAUUGGAAUGUGAUGUGUAGCGGUGAAAUGCUUAGAUAUAUCACAGAACGCCGAUCGUGAAGACAGAUUACGAACUUAAUACUGACGCUCAUGCACGAAAGCGUGGGGAUCAAACAGGAUUAGAAACCCGUGUAGUCC
rnacentral:rRNA from 1 species